UAUCCUUUAUUCAUCAUCCUCAUCUCAGUGUCCAGAAGUACUUCUGGCUGUGGAUGCUGAGAAAGCCUUCGAUUGUGUGGAAUGGAAUUAUUUGCUCUAUGUUCUUGGGCGGUUUGGUUUUGGGAAUAGCUUUAUUUCUUGGGUCAAAGUGUUGUAUGGUUCUCCUUUGGCCUCUGUCAGAACCAAUGACAAUUAUUCAUCAUAUUUUCCUCUUCAGCGUGGGACUAGACAGGGCUGCCCUUUGUCUCCGUUGCUUUUUGCCUUAGGAAUGGAGCCUCUCGCAAUCACCACCAGACAGUGUACAGACAUCAAGGGGAUCUUCAGAGCAAACCAGGAACACAAAAUGUCUUUAUAUGUGGAUGAUGUCCUUCUAUAUAUAUAUCUGACCCUCUUACAUCUAUUCCUCGCCUUCUUAGCAUUCUUAAAGUUUUUGGCAGUUUCUCAGGGUAUAAACUUAACCUAGGCAAAAGCGAGCUUCUACCCAUUACUACAGCAUCUUGUCAGCUCUCAUUUCACUCUCUACCUUUCAAGGUGACUGAUAAUAAGUUUAAUUAUCUUGGUGUGUGUAUCACAAAGUCCCAUUCUCAACUUUCGAGAGCCAAUUUUACACCACUUCUGGACCACACCCAGCAGGAUCUCACUCGCUGGUCCACCAUCCCCUAUCUUUAGCUGGAUGAAUCAGCAUCAUUAAAAUGAAUGUCCUCCCCAAAAUGUUUUAGUUUUUGUUUCAAUGCGUCCCAUAUUUUCUUACAAAAGCAUUCUUUACAAAACUUGACAGUCUCUUCUCAUCCUUCAUUUGGAAUAAUAAAACACCUAGGAUCAGGAAGUUGUUCCUGCAAAGACCUAAAAUACAUGGUGGGAUGGCUCUACCUAACUUUCAAAUCUACUAUUGGGCUGCCAAUAUUAGGAGCUUGUUGUGUUGGCGAUGGGCUAUGUCCUGCCUGGAUCUCCCAGGCUGGUUGCAAAUAGAAUCUAGUUCCUGUUGUCCCAUCUCACUUUCUGCUCUCUUGUGUUCCUCUAUUCCCUUACAUUUUCCCCAGACCUGCCAGAAUCCAGUAGUGCGUCACUCCUUAAAAAUCUGGUCUCAGUUCCGAAAACAUUAUGGGUUAGUCUCCAUGUCAGUUAAUUUCCCCAUCACAGCCAAUCACUUAUUCCCUGCCUCUCUUUUGGAUAAUACAUUUACUCAGUGGCUUAAAAAUGGAGUGUUGAGUAUAAAGAUGUUAUACAAGGAUGGCAUCUUCAUGUCAUUUGAUCAGGUUAGACUGGAAUGUUCUUUGCCAGCUCAUAAUUUGUUCAGAUACUUACAAGUCAGGCAUUUUGUACGGAAUUACUUUACUCAAUUUCCUUCACUAACACCAAAAUCACCGCUUGAUUAUAUCCUUGAAACCCCGUCUGAGGUGAGGGGGACGAUAUCAAGGCUAUACACAAAUAUAUUUGAAAUGGAAGGUUCUUCCCUUUCCAUCAUAAAAGAAAACUGGGAAAUGGAUAUGAAUACAAAUAUAUCUGAGGAUCAAUGGGAUAGCAUAAUUCAAAGCAUUCACUCUUCCUCCAUUUGUGCGAGACAUAGCCUUAUUCAGUUUAAAAUUGUACAUAGGCUUCAUAUGUCCAAGGUUAAACUAUCCAACAUCUUUUCAGGGGUAAGUCCUAUGUGUGAUAGGUGUAAGCAAGCUCCUGCCACUCUUUAUCAUACAUUCUGGUCAUGCUCUAGUUUAACAGCAUUUUGGUUCUCAAUAUUCGAGGUAUAUUCAGCAAUUUCAGGUUUCACUAUUCAUCCCUUGUCCUUUUAUUGGAAUUGUUGGUGUACCAAUGGAGGAUCUUCCUCUACGAAAGCCACAAUUAAAUGGUAUGGCCUACUCCUCCCUCCUAGCGAGGCGGCUCAUUCUUUUCCACUGGAAAAGUGACCGCCCGCCUUCAUUUGGGAGAUGGAUCUGUGAUGUUAUGUUUUUCCUUAAGAUUGAAAAACUGAGAUACACACUGAAUGGAUCAAUGGGGAAAUUUGAUGUAGCAUGGCGUCCAUUUAUUUCUUAUGUAGAACAGCUGACGGUGCCACUUGGCUCUGACUGAGAUGGGAAGUAAUUGGGUAAUCACUGUGGAUGUUUUUGAUUUGAUUUUUUUAUUUAUUCCUUUUUUAUAUAUAUAUUUUUUUGUUGUGUGUUUGUGCUGUUGUGUGAUUGUGUGUAUCUAUAUUUGAUAAUUUGCUGUUAUUUUUGUCUCAAUUUCUUAUGUGUUGUCUCAAGGGCGUGUUUAUGUCUAUGAUUAAAACCUCAAUGAAAAUACAUUGACUAAAAAAAAUAAAAAGUCUCAAAACAGCUAAGGACUUUACAACAGGUUAAAAUGACUCGAUUGAUAUUUUCUGUGUGAUUUCAUUAAUUCUCUAGCUGGUCUGGUUACAUUUUACAUGGUUGGAGUACCUGGUCAGCAGGAGGCGCUGUGUGCAUUAGGUAUCAAUAGCUGACGCCAUUCACUAGUAGAGUGAGACGUCAGAUGGUAGGAGUAAUGCAGAGCAACAUAGACGCUGAGGACUGAUCUCAUGUGUUUCUGUUACUGUUCCUACAGGAAUAAAAUUCAAUGUGCUACACAAAGGAUCGGCCACAGCGUCAUUCUUAAAAGUGUAACAGUAGCAGAUGCAUCAAAAAGCUCAACUGAGGCCAAAAAUGAUUACUUCUCUGCUUACACACAAAGAUGGGCCAUCUUGAAGCAGGACGUUAAGACGAGUCUGAAAUCCUGGUCCGACACCAAAUGGGAAAGCCGGAUAAACAGUGUCCAGGCUGUAAGAUUUCAGACAGCCGAAGUCAGAGAGGCUCUGCUAGAGAUUAUUAGUUUGAUGAAGGUCUGUGCUUUCUAAUUUAUCUUUUAAAUGUUCAUUUCAUUUAUUUGGCAGGGACAGUGCAGAAUGUAUAAAUGAGGCACAUUAAAGCCACAUGGCUAAUUCAGUUGUUGGAGUUUGUAAAAAAACAAUUUGUGUUGAUGUUCCAAAGUUACUGGAAAUAAAAAUGUUCUGAGACCAUUCUA